CACUGUUCUUCACCUGACCCCGCUUGCGAAUCUGGAAACGUGGCAGAUGUUAUGCGUUUGCCCUCCGAGAAUUACUGAUUUUUCGAUGCCGAGAUGAACAGCUUGAGAUGCAAGAAUUGUUCGUUCGGUGAUCCUGACUGCAAUUCUGGCAACGUACCAGAGAGAGAGUGCCUAACCAACCAAGUCUGCUACGCAAUUAGAUUUUUCUCCCCAGGACAAUCGGACCAAACAGUUACACUUCGUGGCUGCACAGCAAAUGACGAAGGUAACCACUGCGUGGAUGUCGACGAAACGUGGAAGGAGUGCCACCUCUACUGCUACACAGACAACUGUAACAGUGCAUCCAAUAUUGGUGAAGAAUGAUAGGACUGUAUUGACCUGCAUCAUUUUGUCAGAAAUCGCCACUGACACCAAAAACUAGGGUUUUAGUACUUUUAUGUUAUAAAAGAAAAUAUAAAGAAAAAAUACUCUUCAGUAAAUUUUUGUCCAUGAUACACAAAAGAUGAACUAUGUAAUCCCAUAUAAAAACCGUCUUCAGUAUUUAUUGUUUCUUGCUAUGCAUCAACGUGAAAGCUUUAAAAAGAUAUUCCUGGUAUUGAAAUGUUGUUUCUGGCUUGUUAAAUGGCAACAUCUGACAUCAAAUUAUUUAAUUUCUGUCCAGAAAACUGAAGAAAAGUAGUAAUCCAU
rnacentral:misc_RNA from 1 species